rnacentral:lncRNA from 1 species
ACGACACUAAAUCAAAGAAUACACAAUCAAGAACAUGAUCUCAUGACCACAGUGAUAAAAUAGAACAAGAGGAUUGCUGGAAAAACUUUACGCUGUGAUAAUUGACCUUCACAACUGCUGUUACUAGCACAACUUUAAGCUACUUGAAAGCAUGAUGUGUGGCCGGCUUUGAAGCCGAAACCUUUUAGGCACUGCUCAACUUUACGUCUUCUAAGGACCUACAAUACUUGGACAUAAAAUCUGACGCAUGAAGUGAUUAGAAAACCUGUUGUGGGACAUCGCUAUGCAUCAUAUGUCUUGGCUGAACAAGUUUUGGGGCUUACAGAUCUGCGAGUUCUUUUCUAGUCUUGUUUAUAAUCUUGGGUUGUUGCGCACGUGCCUUGCUGCAUGCUUCUGUCCUAACCAUGCAUCCUUGGAAAUCAAGAUGAGUAUUUAAAGCUGGCGAUUUUGUUUAUCCUUGAAAAUAUUCUAAUAUUGCAUCGAUGAUGGAUUUUGCUGCUAGUAAGAUAAGGACUUUGCGGUUGCUUGUUCCAUGGAUUUUGCUGCUAGAAGAUGAGAACUUUGCGAUUGCUUGCUCCACUACGUGGUUUGGGAAAGCUGCAUCCUUCCAAGACAUGAAGUAAGAUGGUAGAAGUCGGCCAUGUGGAAUUGAGUGGCCAAAUAGCCAUUGAUACAGUGGUCAAAUAAUCUUACAAGAUAUAUAUUUUUUUUAUUUUUUUUUUAGUUGCAUAAAGUUUUCAUUAUUCAAGGUGUUAAAUAAAAUCAAAAGUAUUUGUUUAAUUACGAUGGUUUUGUAAGGUUAAACAUGG